GAAUUUUGGACAAUGGGGGCAACCCUGAUCCAGCAAUGCCGCGUGAGUGAAGAAGGCCCUCGGGUUGUAAAGCUCUUUUGUCAGGGAAGAAACGGAGUUCUCUAAUAUAGGAUUCUAAUGACGGUACCUGAAGAAUAAGCACCGGCUAACUACGUGCCAGCAGCCGCGGUAAUACGUAGGGUGCAAGCGUUAAUCGGAAUUACUGGGCGUAAAGCGUGCGCAGGCGGUUUUGUAAGUCUGAUGUGAAAUCCCCGGGCUCAACCUGGGAACUGCAUUGGAGACUGCAAGGCUAGAGUGUGUCAGAGGGGGGUAGAAUUCCACGUGUAGCAGUGAAAUGCGUAGAGAUGUGGAGGAAUACCGAUGGCGAAGGCAGCCCCCUGGGAUAACACUGACGCUCAUGCACGAAAGCGUGGGGAGCAAACAGGAUUAGAUACCCUGGUAGUCCACGCCCUAAACGAUGUCUACUAGUUGUCGGGACUUAAUUGUCUUGGUAACGCAGCUAACGCGUGAAGUAGACCGCCUGGGGAGUACGGUCGCAAGAUUAAAACUCAAAUG
rnacentral:rRNA from 1 species